rnacentral:antisense_RNA from 1 species
AACCAGAGGUCAUUCCCUCUCUCUGCUAAGUACCUGAUUGCCUUGCAAGAAGGAAGAGGUUUUAAAAGUUUUCAAAGCUAACAGGUGUCCAAAGGAGAUUACACCUGCAAAUCAGGUUUAUAAUGUACAACCUGAAACAUUCCAUUGAUGAUAAAUGAACUUAACUGAAACAGAAGCACGUCAUGUUCUUGAACUGUGCCAGCAGAUUUUACAGUUUCUAGAGGAACCACAGAAUUCCUUCUGCUUAAGAAGUCAUUCAGAUAACCUAAACAGGUUACUGAGACUCACCAUGGACAUUGGUACAUGCUGGUUAACUGUAUUGACUUGGAUUUACAAAGCUUUCCUGAAAAUUAUAUCCUAAGUACUACAAAACUAGAAAGACUUGAACAUUUUCCGACCACGGCAUUUCAAGUUUGCUUAAACAAACAAACAAAUAAACAAAAAAGCAGAAAUUGAAGAAAUACUCAGCAUUGAGAAAGAAUCAAGUUGUAAUGUAACAGCAAAAUUUUACCCUUGUUGACAAUAUGUACGAUGGCUUCUGGUCCCAAGGUGUCAUACAGAGGUACGGCUACCAUGGAGUACGUGUAACAAGCCAAUUCGGAGAUGAUCCACUGUAUGGAGAGAAGUUCAAUGUGAUAACGAACUAAUACAGACAGCAUGACAUCAUUGUGUGGAUACACAUUAGCAAGCUUGAAAACUACAGGAAAUAAAACUGGAAAGGAACGGACAUGAGGGAUACAUGUGCACAGAGAAAAGUCCGUGUGAAGACAAAAUGAAAAAGUGGCUGUCUACA